UACGGGGGGGGGCAAGCGUUGUUCGGAAUUACUGGGCGUAAAGGGCCAGUAGGCGGCCAACUAAGUCGGAUGUGAAAUCCCCAGGCUCAACUUGGGAACUGCAUCCGAUACUGGAUGGCUUGAAUUCGGGAGAGGGGUGCAGAGUUCCAGGUGUAGCGGUGAAAUGCGUAGAUAUCUGGAGGAAUACCGGUGGCGAAGGCGGCAUCCUGGACCGACAUUGACGCUGAACGGCGAAAGCUAGGGGAGCAAACAGG
rnacentral:rRNA from 1 species